rnacentral:pre_miRNA from 1 species
AGUAAGAGUACUCCCUGUGGGUUUGGAUGCCCAACGUUUGACCGUCCGUUUUAUUUGAAAUUUUUUUAUGAUUAAUAUUUUUAUUAUUAUUAGAUAAUAAAAUAUAAAUAGUAAUUUAUGUAUGACUUAAUUUUUUAAAAAAAUCAUAAAUUUUUCAAAUAUGUAUGACUUAAUUUUUAAAAAAAAAUCAUAAUCUUUUCAAAUAAAAUGGAUGGUUAAAUGUUGGACACAGAAACUUACGGUACACUUAAA